CCAGGAAGGAAUGAAGAAAAGAACAAAUACAUCAGAAAUGAAGAAAAGAUAUCAGGAGGAAAGGAAGGAAGCAAGACAGAAGUAACUGAUUCUAUUAGUAAGAGGCCAUGCCUUGUGAUAUGCAGAAUCUAGUUCACUGACCAGGGAUCAAAGCACGGGAGCACAGAGUCUUAACCACUGAACCACUAGCAAAGUCCCUGGAUAUUUGUAUUUCUAUGGUUAUUUGAAUGUACAUAUUCUUCAUAUGAUUUUUUCUGUUGGGAUUGUUUUAUAUUUAUCUCUGAGAACUCUUUGUAUAUUAGCUAUAUUAGCUUAAAUGCAUGAAUUCAUUUAUAUAACAUAAUUUGCUGAAAUGAAAAUAUAGUAUUAUUAAAAUUUCCC